CAUAGAGUCCAGAAUAGGAGAGUGAUUGUCCUGCUCUGCUUGGUGUGGUCAGAUCUGCUCUCAGCACUUGGCCCCACGCUUUAAAGGGAACAUUAACAGAUGAUCCACGUUCACAGGAGAGAUCAGAGUAAUGAGAAACUAGAACGACAGUUGACAAAAUUGUUUGCCCUUCUGGCUCUCGUGAGUGUGCCUACGACGUCCUCCUACAUACCCUCUCCAAGCAGAUGAAUUGCAUCUGAUGAAGAGACAGGCCCACACCUGCUCCCUCUCUGUUUGAGCUCACAGAAAAAAGAACAGCACUACUUAUCGGGGAAGGACUCUCAAGCUGAUUUAUUCUACUUAUUUACUCCUAUUCUUGCAGGAAUAACCUUGUUAAGAAGUCACAGCACAGAAACCAAAUGACAAUCUGAAUCCCCACUGGCAUUCUCUAAAAAUCUGGAAGAAUUAAACACCCUACCAUCAGCUGGGUAGGGCUUCUGAGGGUUGUUUGCAAAGGGUUAGAGGUUUUUAAUAAAAUAGGCUUCUUUGACAAUA